UACGAAGGGGGCUAGCGUUGCUCGGAAUUACUGGGCGUAAAGGGCGCGUAGGCGGACAGUUUAGUCGGGGGUGAAAUCCCAGGGCUCAACCCUGGAACUGCCUUCGAUACUGACUGUCUUGAGUUCGGGAGAGGUGAGUGGAAUGCCGAGUGUAGAGGUGAAAUUCGUAGAUAUUCGGCGGAACACCAGUGGCGAAGGCGACUCACUGGCCCGAUACUGACGCUGAUGCGCGAAAGCGUGGGGAGCAAACAG
rnacentral:rRNA from 1 species